AAGGGGCAAAUCCUCACACCUGAGGGCGGGUGGGGCCAGCCCCGGCCCCUGUUCCGCCCCUCUCCCGGCGGUGCCGGGGCGGUGUGGGGCAGCGCAAGGUCAUCAGGUGCAAGUGAUAAGCUUGACGAGGUGAGACAGGCAGUGUGGGGAGGAGGAGCACCUGAUUCAGGAAAGGUCACAGCAGUUUCCACACCAAGAAAUUCCACUGUGCUACCUGAGUAUUCUGCAGAUACAAGGUGAGAUAGAGAAGUGAAGAAAAACAACAUACAGAGAGCCAAUUUGUCAUGCUAUAAACCCUUUUGAAAAAAAUUUACUUCCAGACUACUGAACUGAGAUGAUGGCUUGCAAGCCCUAAGUCAGUCAGGAAAAGGGAAGGAAGCUGCUGGAAAAGAGAAGAAGUUGGCAUACCUUCCCUUUGUUGAAGUAAUGGAUAAUCUUACGGCACAGACCUUCCUUACGUUGCCACUCUGACUGAGAUGGGUAAUGCAGGAACUCUCUCAGAGGUCUGUCCUCCCACUGAAGCAACUCACAGUACAAAAGCAAAGUGAAUGCAGCCUCUGUAGGAAAGGCAAUUAUGGAGCACUGAAUCAAUGACAGCAAAUAAACACAGUCAAUACUGAAAGGUCACAGA